rnacentral:rRNA from 1 species
UACGGAGGGGGCUAGCGUUGUUCGGAAUCACUGGGCGUAAAGCGUGCGUAGGCGGCCAUUCAAGUCAGAGGUGAAAGCCCAGGGCUCAACCCUGGAACUGCCUUUGAAACUAGAUGGCUGGAACACGGGAGAGGUGAGUGGAAUUCCGAGUGUAGAGGUGAAGUUCGUAGAUAUUCGGAAGAACACCAGUGGCGAAGGCGGCUCACUGGACCGUUGUUGACGCUGAGGCACGAAAGCGUGGGGAGCAAACAGG